GAAAAAGAAAGGAAGCCACUAUCAUAUCAUCUUCUCCACUGUCGAAACUGGAGAAAGAAGAAAAAGAGAAAAGCUUGGCUAAGGUUCGGCCAUUGGGAGUUAGAUUAAGGCUUUGUGCCGGUGAAAUGUAUCGGGCUUGGUGCCUAGCAGGCUUUAUGCCGGUGUUAUAUACAAGGCUCUAUGCUCUAUAAAUCUUAUGUGAGCAAUAGUAAAAGCAAAUAAAUGUGUUAAGAAAGCUAAAUUAUUCGGUACAUGAUUUGGCAGGGAGUAAGACCAUGAGUGGUUUAUGAAUUAAAACAUGUUGGUAAGCCCGAUACAUGAAUAAAUGUUGUGCUUAUCCCUACUUAUAAUGCUUAUGUUAUAUGUAUAUUUGGUGAACAUAUUUGGUAUACAUGCUUAGGCUUUGGCCAAGUAGUUACAUAGACCAUGCCACGUUAAAUUUAUAAGUUAUGCAUUGAUAUGGUUUGUUA